UACGGGGGAGCAAGCGUUGUUCGGAUUACUGGCGUAAAGGGCGCGUAGGCGGCCACCGCAAGUCGACUGUGAAAUCUCCGGGCUUAACCCGGAAAGGUCAGCCGAUACUGCGGGGCUAGAGUGCAGAAGGGGCAACUGGAAUUCUCGGUGUAGCGGUGAAAUGCGUAGAUAUCAGGAGGAACACCAAUGGCGAAGGCAGCUCGCUGGAACGGUACUGACGCUGAGGCGACGAAAGCGUGGGGAGCGAACAG
rnacentral:rRNA from 1 species